AUUUUUCUUUUGUGUGGGCUGAGGAUUUAAAAUGGCAAAAAAUAUGCACAUCUGAAUUUUUUGUAUAACUUUAAAAGCAGACUCGUCUUACAAAAACUGCAGGUCACAAGUCCACAGGAGCAGCUGGUGCAGAGAAACUGCAAAGCCUUGUAAGCUCAGAAAGCUUCUUAAAGAUGGAGAACAGAAAUAAAUGAGACUUUGACACUUCAAGU